GGAUGGAUGAUGACUCCCAUAAAUGUACUGCUUGGAAAUCUGAACAAAAUGAAUGGGUCUCAGGUUUCUCCGAGUUCAUGUCACUGACGGGC